rnacentral:rRNA from 1 species
UUCGAUUAAGCCAUGCGAGUCGCGAGUCUUAGGGACUCGGCGUGCCGCUCAGUAACACGUGGGUAACCUGCCCUAUGCUGGGGAAUAACCUCGGGAAACUGAGAAUAAUGCCCCAUAGUUCACCACGCCUGGAACGGUGGGUGGAUCAAAGCUCCGGCGGCAUAGGAUGGGCCUGCGGCGUAUCAGGUCGUAGGGGGUGUAAUGUACCCUCUAGCCAUCGACGCGUACGGGUGUUGGGAGACAUUGCCCGGAGAUGGAUUCUGAGACACGAAUCCAGACCCUACGGGGUGCAGCAGGCGCGAAAACUUGGCAAUGCGAGAAAUCGUGACCAGGGAACUCCAAGUGCAUCGGGUAAGACCGAUGCUUUUCUUGACUCUUCAACGGUCUUGGAAUAAGGGUGGGUAAGGACGGAGCCAGCCGCCGCGGUAAUACCGGCGCCUCAAGUGGUAGUCGCUUUUAUUGGGCCUAAAACGUCCGUAGCCGGUUUGGUACAUUCGUGGGUAAAUCAAGGCGCUCAACGUCUUGAAUUCUGCGAGCACGGCCAGACUUGGGACCGGGUGAGGUGUGGGGUACUCUCAGGGUAGGGGUAGAAUCCUGUCAUCCUGAGAGGACCACCUGUUGCGAAGGCGCCACACUAGAACGGAUCCGACGGUCAGGGACGAAGCCUAGGGGCACGAACCGGAUUAGAUACCCGGGUAGUCCUAGGUGUAAACGCUGUGGACUUGAUGUUGGGAGUGCUCCGAGCACCCUCAGUGUCGAAGCGAAGGUGAUAAGUCCACUGCCUGGGGAGUACGGUCGCAAGGCUGAAACUUAAAGGAAUUGGCGGGGGAGCACUGCAACCUGAGGAUUGUGCG